rnacentral:rRNA from 1 species
UACGUAGGGUGCAAGCGUUAAUCGGAAUUACUGGGCGUAAAGCGUGCGCAGGCGGUUAUGUAAGACAGAGGUGAAAUCCCCGGGCUCAACCUGGGAACUGCCUUUGUGACUGCAUAGCUAGAGUACGGUAGAGGGGGAUGGAAUUCCGCGUGUAGCAGUGAAAUGCGUAGAUAUGCGGAGGAACACCGAUGGCGAAGGCAAUCCCCUGGACCUGUACUGACGCUCAUGCGCGAAAGCGUGGGGAGCAAACAGG